GAGGAGGCUGAUGAUGCAGAUAAUGGUGGAAGAAACUCUCCUUCAAAUACUUCUCAAUCUGAGCAACAGGAGUCUGCUGAUACUGAUGGCCCUGUAGUUGAGAAAAUCAUGAGUUGCCGAACAGUCAAGAAACAGAUGGAGAAUGGAGAGGAGGUCGAAACUGAAGAAUACUAUGUAAAAUACAAAAAC